CAAAUACUCCCGCCGUCCGAAAAUACUUGUCGGAGAAAUUGAUAAAAAUGGAUGUAUCUAGAACUAAAAUACAUGUAGAUACAUCCAUUCUCCGACGACUAUUUCCGGACGGAGGGAGUAUUAC
rfam:Triticum aestivum genome assembly, contig: Triticum_aestivum_CS42_TGACv1_scaffold_514181_6BS